AGAGUUUGAUCAUGGCUCAGGACGAACGCUGGCGGCGUGCUUAACACAUGCAAGUCGAACGAGGUCCAACCGGUAGCAAUACCGGUGAAGACCUAGUGGCGAACGGGUGAGUAACACGUGAGCAACCUGCCCCGAAGACUGGGAUAACAGUGGGAAACCGCUGCUAAUACCGGAUGUCCCCACCGGACCGCAUGAUCUGGUGAGGAAAUGGAUUCCGCUUCGGGAGGGGCUCGCGGCCUAUCAGCUUGUUGGUGGGGUAACGGCCCACCAAGGCAACGACGGGUAGCUGGUCUGAGAGGACGAUCAGCCACACUGGGACUGAGACACGGCCCAGACUCCUACGGGAGGCAGCAGUGGGGAAUCUUGCGCAAUGGGCGAAAGCCUGACGCAGCAACGCCGCGUGAGGGAUGACGGCCUUCGGGUUGUAAACCUCUUUCGAGCAGGGACGAUUGUGACGGUACCUGCAGAAGAAGCUCCGGCCAACUACGUGCCAGCAGCCGCGGUAAUACGUAGGGAGCGAGCGUUGUCCGGAUUCAUUGGGCGUAAAGAGCUCGUAGGCGGCUCGGUAAGUCAGAUGUGAAACCUCCAGGCUCAACCUGGAGUCGCCAUCUGAUACUGCUGUGGCUAGAGUCCUGUAGGGGCCCACGGAACCCCUGGUGUAGCGGUGAAAUGCGCAGAUAUCAGGAAGAACACCGGUGGCGAAGGCGGUGGGCUGGGCCGGCACUGACGCUGAGGAGCGAAAGCGUGGGGAGCGAACAGGAUUAGAUACCCCAGUAGUCC
rnacentral:rRNA from 1 species